rnacentral:rRNA from 1 species
GAUGAACGCUGGCGGCGUGCCUAAUACAUGCAAGUCGAGCGAAGCGGGGACGGGUGAGUAACACGUGGAUAACCUCCUAUAAGACUGGGAUCACUUCGGGAAACCGGAGCUAAACCGGAUACUUAGAGAUGGAUCCGGGCUGCAUUAGCUAGUUGGUAAGGUACCGGCUUACCAAGGCAACGAUGCAUGGCCGACCUGAGAUGGUGAUCCGCCACACGGGAACGGAGACACGGGCCAGACUCCUACGGGAGGCAGCAGUAGGGAAUCUUCGGCAAUGGGCGAAAGCCUGAAGGAGCAACGCCGCGUGAGUGAUGAAGGUCUUCGGAUCGUAAAACUCUGUUAUUAGGGAAGCGGUACCUAAUGAGAAAGCAACGGCUAACUACGUGCCAGCAGCCGCGGUAAUAC